AUAACGAUAACAACAGAACUUUCCAAAUUAUUCAAUCAUUUUGCAUUUGUAAUGCUGUAUUAUUUUCAGGUUAUUAAAUUGUCAAAAGAUGCAUAUACCGGAUAUUUUGGAGCAUGGUAAAUGUUCAGAAUUACUGUUAUUCUUAUUUGUAAAUGCUAUAAACAUAACUAUCAUAUUGUUUUAAUGUUGUACACAAUGUUUAUAAGUUAAUCUCAUGUAUAAACUUAAUUGUUUUGUCUCUUUUAACUGUACAGUACAUUGUUUUACUGUUAAAUUUUUAUGUGGCCCUAUAAAGGUGACCGUUUGGCGACAAAGUAUUCAUUACCCCUAUCCUGUAAAUAUUAUUUUUUAAAUUUCCUUUUAGAUAUUGUCAUAACGCCACCCUGGGAGGUCAUCGCUUCUCAAUAGCCCUAUAUCCUUUAAGGUACUUUACAGACAAGUUCUUAGGUUGCAAGAGUUCAACAUUUGCUGUCACACUCAAAUAUAUUCCAAAAUAAAAUAAAAAUGCAAUUAUACAUCAUAUUUUCAUAUAAAUGUGCAAUCCUUUAAAAACAUAGAGCUAAUUAAGUAAGAUCCAGCUUCUCAACCAAUUAAUGUCCAACAAGUUGUAUAUUUUCCCAUUGUUUAAUAUUAAUAAUAAUAACAUUUUAUUACUAUAGUGCAAGACAUGUGUUUCUUUCAAUUGUUCAUUUCCAUAUUCUUUAUAUAACACUCAUUCCUUUAAAAGUGCAAUAAUGUUUACAUCCUAAAUGAAAAGGCGUGUGAACUAGGUCAUGGUUCAAUUUCGACCAAUCAGCGCCAACUUUUAUGGUCAAUGCCGUUUUAGCAAGUGGGGUAAAACCAGUACUUACCGAAACCGCCCUUAUAGUAUUCAAUGCAUUCUUAUGUAUAUAACGCUUUUUUAACAUUUUAGUUAAAUGUAAAUGCGAUGUUAGGUAAGCACAGAUUUUUAUGCCCCCCCUUCGAAGAAGAGGGGGUAUAUUGUUUUGCGCAUGUCGGUAGGUCGGUCGUCUGUCCGUCCGUCCACCAGAUGGUUUCCAGAUGAUAACUCAAGAACGCUUACGCGUAGGAUCAUGAAACUUUGUAGGUACAUUGAUUAUGACUCACUGAUGACCCCUAUUUAUUUUCAGGUCACUAGGUCAAGGUCACGGUGACUCGAACCAGUAAAAUGGUUUCGGGAUGAUAACUCAAGAAAGUGUACGCCUAUGAUCAUGAAACUUAAUAUGUACAUUGAUCAUGAUUUGUAGAUGACCCCUUUUGAUUUCCAGGUCACUAGGUCAAAGGUCAAUGUCACGGUGACUUGACACAGUAAAAUGGUUUCUGAAUGAUAACUCAAGAAAGCUAACGUUUAGGAUCAUGAAACUUCAUAGGUACAUUGAUCAUGACUUGCAGAUGACCCCUAUUGAUUUUCAAGUCACUAGGUCAAAGGUCAAGUUCACAGUGACAAAACAAAAA